ACAAAAAGUAUGCUUAUGGAAUUUGCAGCUGACAAAAUCCAAAAACACAAUCCCAUAUGACAGAUGGGUGAAAGAAAUCAAGAUUAAAAUGUAUCUUGAAAAACUCAAAUGAUGAGCCAAAGUGAAUGAGAUAAAUGUGGAAGAAAUAAAUAUAAGGUUCUGCAUUUGGAUUUAAGAAGUUAUUUUCACAUGUUCUGACACUGGGGGAGACCUGGCUUAGAAUCAGAUCAUAUGAAAACAAUCUAAGAUUGUGGAUUAAUUCCUUUUGGCAAGGAGGCCCUUUGAGAAGCUCCGGGCUUCCUUCCCAGAAAAGUCCAUGUAUGCACAUACCCGCCGAUCUGUUCAUGGAAGCAGUCUGCAGACUGGAGAUCCCAUGACAACUGGAAGACAGCAUGGUGGUCACUGUUGCUGCUGGUAGAGCCACAUCUGAUGUGUCCCGGUCUGUCCUGGUGGCAGCGAUUCAGUGGUAACAUGGGGACAUUGCAGCGAGCAGGCAGGAUGGAGAGCAACCCUUGUGAGGAAUCAUGGGAGAGAUGGCAUCUGUUUCAACCUGGAUGAGGGAGGCUGGUGCGCUUCUUUGAGUAGGGGGUAGAAGGCAGAGCGGGUGUCUCUGGGUCACUCCAGAGGCCUUAGACCAGCAGGUCUAGGUCACAGGGGGACAGGUUGGGACUCAACAUUUAAGAACUUUCCAUGCACACUGACAGCAAGGGGGUUAAAAAAAUAAAAAUGAAAAGAACUUCCCAGCAGUUCAGUGGUGGAAUGGCAGCCUUGGUAGCUAACAUGGGCAUGGUUAAUGACAGCGGGCAGUCUGUCCUGCUGUUGGUACCUGGCCUAGCUGGAAAGAGAGGACACAUAGCCGCCAGACCUCUUCCCAGUCUGAGUUUCUGGCGUUCCAUGCCUCUGGGAGUUUGGAGACAGAGGAGAUCCUAACCCAGGGGCUGCUGCCCUGCUGUCACUUCCCGUCGUGGUGAUGCCCCUGCCAGGCUUCCCACAGUCCCCUUUCUCAUUCAUUUAGUGGCCACCCUUUUACCUCCAGGCACCAGGAGAGGACAGCCACAUCUGCAGUGUCCCUGCAGGACGCCAAAGCUGAGGCAGGAGAGGGAGCCACAGAAAGCAGAGUGGGACUCGGGCGGCGGGGGGGCGGGCAGGGCCUAGCUGGUCUCUUCCCUGCAGCUUCCAAGGGCUGCAUCAAGUGCGAAGCGCCCUGCCCGGAGGACUGGCUGCUCUACGGAAGGAAGUGCUACUUCUUUUCCGAGGAACCCAGAGACUGGAACACAGGCAGGCAGUACUGCCACACCCACGAGGCGGUGCUGGCUGUGAUUCAGAGCCAGAAGGAGCUGGAAUUUAUGUUCAAGUUCACGCGGAGGGAGCCCUGGAUUGGACUACGCAGAGUUGGGGACGAAUUCCACUGGGUCAACGGGGACCCGUUUGAUCCGGACACGUUCACCAUCGCAGGUCCAGGGGAGUGUGUCUUCGUGGAGCCCACCAGGCUGGUGUCGACGGAGUGUCUGAUGACCCGGCCCUGGGUGUGCAGCAAGAUGGCCUAUACUUGAGGUGGGUGGGGCCAGAGGUGGCCCCGCCCCCAGGCCUGUGGGAGGUGUCUGCUCAAGACCUGCUUCCAGCGGAGCCGCCUGCCGUCUGCAAGGCGAAGCGGUGGGUGCGUGGCCUCCGCCCCAGGCCCCUCUCCCAGGCCCUGGCGCUCUGAGUCCCUGGUUCCUGGCCUCCUUUGUCUGCAGGCAGGUCGUGUGGCUCAGCAGUUAAAUCCCAUAUGCUAGGUAGUGUAGGCAUCUGCCCACCUACACACACACACAUGCAUAGGUACACGCACGCACAGACGCUGUCCCCUCUGAAGCUCAGUGUCCAUCCUGAGCCACCCCACAGAUCUCUCUCCGGCCCCCUAGAAGCCCUCUCCUCACUGCAGCCCUGGUGCUCUGGGGAAGGAGGGGCAUUGACAGGUAGUUUGACUGUUCACCCAGCAGCCCCGCUUCCCCACUGGUUUCUCUCCUGGCUGCCGGCGGAGGUAGGCUGGGAAAGCUUCCCCCUCACCUAGGCCAGGCCAGCCCCGCCCCGGGCCCCAGAGGUCCCCUGCAUCCCCCUUCUUUGCCUUGCCUGGGUUCUCAGGCAGGGCCCCUGCUGUGUCCGUGGUGCUGUUGUAUUGGUCACUAACGGAAUAAAGAGUUAAUAUCUC
rnacentral:sRNA from 1 species